UGAUACUGGUCUUCUUUGGGUCAAAGGAUUUCCUGCAUGACUUCGUCUGGAUUCAACAACACAAAGUAAUGACUUUUGCAUUCAGUGCAAGAAGAUCAAGAAUUUGCCUCUGCACCAAGUUGCAAAAUAACAGUGUAGUUAUUAUUCUCUUGUCUGAUUUUCAUAAGCUUUUUAAAGGAGGCAUUUUAUUUCUGGAGAAACAGUCACAGUUUGAUUUAGUCUUCAUGUCCAAUACAUGGAGGAACUUUUAGUUCCUGAAUAAGCAAGGACUUUUUGUCCUGCUUGUGAAACUUACCUAAAGUAAGCUCAGGAAUGUAUUUUCUCAGAUAAUACUAUCCAGACUUCAUUAUAAUAUCGUUGAAUUUGAAAAUAAGUAAAAACUCAAAACUCCUUGUCCAUAUGUGUGGUUCAUUUUAACAGAAAUUUCAAUUAAGUGAGAAGAUACAGUGCUGGGUUAAAAAUCCUCCUUAUCUCGUUCUCACAAGCAGUUUGAGUAGCCUUUCCGUGAUGUCUGUUUUUGAAUUCGCAUAGCUCACAGGCUUCCUUGGGUGUCAGGACCAGAUCUUAACAAUCUUUGAGCUCUCAGAGCUCAGCCUUGUAGUCAGUGGAAAUUCUUCCCAUGAAAACCCGCCAUCCUCUGGUGCCCAGUCACACAAUUUCAAACUGGCAAGGAUCUAAAGUGAGUUCUUUCAGUAGCUACCAGUGCGUCUCAGAACUGAAUCUACUUGAUGCAGAAGAGCUGUUUUGAGUAAACUCCAGAGGUCAGCUGAAACCCCACACCGGACGGAACCCUGUCCCAGCUGCAGGAGUCCCCUGCCCGCUGCGCGCUCCCCCUACACGCGGCAUCUCUAAGAAACCACCCGCGCGAGGCUAUUUUUGGCGGACACAAGUUUCUUUCAGUGAUAGACCAAAAUCGCGGGGGAAAGAAGGCUCUCUUUGGGGGUCAAAGGGGAACCACGAGAGUGUUUUAACAGUGUAGUUUCCCAGGAACACGGGCAGGGUGGGGGUUCCCUUGGCGCGCUCGGUGAGCUCUGGAAAACACGCCUGCAGCUCCGCGGACGCGCGCUCUCCGGAAGGCAGUGUCUCCCUGCACCGCUUUUUCCUAAUGGAUUUCCAUUUCAUCGAUCGGGACCUAGAUGCUGGCUAGCAAUUAGUCCUAAUCAGGCAGCAGGAGCGUCCUGGGGGGACUGCCAGCUAGCCUAAUUGCUGGCAGCUGCGGGGACGCCCCGCGCGCAGCUGCGGGGCACCGGCUGUUAACCCUUAGUGUCCCGGGCUCCACACGGAGGCUCGGCCCGGCAAAACUGCGGCAGGUGUGGGGAUCGGCGGCUUAUCUUUAUUUUG